UGCCCAGGAAGUCAGGCAGGCGGAAGUGGAGUGGCGGAAGCGACAGUUGCUAUGGAGCUCGCGGAGGACUGGCUGGUGGAGUCCUUGCGCUUGUACCAAGAUUUCCACGCGUUUGACCUUUCAGGAGCCACUCGAGUCCUUGAGUGGAUCGGUGAAAAAGGAGUCUUUGUUGCUGGUUUUGAAAGUUCGAGAAAAAAUGAGAUCCUUCAUUUGAUCCUGCCGCUCAGACUCUCCGUAAAGGAGAACCAGGGUUUAUUCCCGGAGAGAGAUUUUAAAGUGUGUCAUGGGGGAUUUUCAGACAGAUCUGUCUUCGACCUAAAGCACGUGCCAGAUACCAGGUUGCUGGUGACCAGUGGCCUUCCCGGGUGUUACUUGCAGGUGUGGCAGACUGGAGAGGACAAUGAUGUCAUCGAAGCCGUCCGUACCAUUGACAUGCAGGACAGAGAGGAGAGUCUCUGGCCUCGGGUGUCUGUCUUCUCCUCUGCAGCACCUGGAAUCCUCCACGGGGCUCGGCUCAGUGGCCUGAGGACUGUGGACAUAGAAUCCCAGAAAAUCACAUACAGCUCAGGUACCAGUGACAGCGAGUCGCUGAGCAGCCUUCAGGUUCUAGAUGCGGACACCUUUGCUUUCUGUGGCACCUCAGGUCGCCUGGGGCUUGUGGACACCCGCCAGAAGUGGGCACCGUUGGAGACUCUCAGCCCCAGCCCUGGCUCUAGUGGAGAGAGAUGGUGUGCAGAUGUUAGGAACAAGGGGCAAGGCCCGGGGCCCUGCAUUGCCAGCCUUGGCUCAGAUGGGCAGCUCCGUCUCCUUGACUUCCGGAACCUCUGUCACCCUGUGAGCUCAGCCCAGUGUCCUGUGUCCAAACCCAGCCCUGACCCAGAGCUGCUGCAAGUGACUUGGGCUCCAGGCCUGGACAACUGCUUGGCUAUUUCAGGCUUUGAUGGGACAGUGCAGAUCUAUGACGUCACGUCAUGGGAUGGAAAGGAAAGCCAAGUGGAGCCUCUUUUCACUCACAAAGGCCACAUCUUCCUGGAGGGAAAUGAGGUGGACGCUGCUCCUCUGGUCACCACCCACACCUGGCACCCUUGCAAACCCAGAACUUUGUUGUCAGCAGCAAGCGAUGCCUCUCUGCAUGUGUGGGACUGGGUGGACCUCCAGGCCUCCUGUUGACAGCAGCUGUUUUCCUCCUGGGCCUCCCUCUGAGAAGAGGGGGAGUUGCUUGAGUUGACCUGAACGUGCAGGCCUCCUUCCUCAGCCCCAGAGGCCGUUCCCAGCAGAUGUGGACACAGAUGUGGGUUCUCUGCCCUCCCCUCCUACUUCAGCGUCCUGAGUAGCUGGGAUGCAGGCACUAGGACCAGCAUGGAGAUGAACAGUGUGGUUCUUUUACAGUGACAUUGAUAGAGGUUGGUUUGGGGAGCCCUAGAACUGCAGUUUCCUGGCAGGAUGUUCACUCCCGCCCCCUCCCGGAGCGCAUUUCCUAGCUCUCCUCUCCGCUCUGCUCAGCGGUGUCAGACUGAUGGCUUGAAAUUGGCUGUGGUGGGAGUAUUUACAUCUCAGAAACUGGCAAAUGUUACAAAGCGAGGCUCUUGUUUCCCCCAGAGAUCAGGAUUACCAGCAGCCCCCAGCCAGGCUAUAGUAUUUCACUGAGUGAAAGCAAAGCGAGUAAUUGAGAAAAUCGGGGAGCGGUGUGUGAUCUAGAAGGUGCUUUGCUCAGAUGGAUCCGGCAGGGGCUGGCCAGGAAGACCAAACCCACACCGGGUAAUUGAAUUGAAUUGAAUGGCACAGGAAACGAGGAAGGCACACAACCACAGCGUGUAGAGGCAGUAGGCCUCCGGGUAGGAGUUGUGGUCUCGUGUGUGGCCAGAGCCUAGAUAAUGAGCAGACGCAGCCUCGGGCUCUAGAUCCACAGAGAAGAUGGCUGACUACUACAGAGAGUACAGGGACAGGAGAAUGGGACGGAGUCGAGAGGUUCAUAGAGAUAUACAAAUUUCCCUUCAGCCGAGCCAGCCGUGUCAAUAACGGCAGCCUCACAAUACAGGCGGCGGUGGUGGGGGAAAGCAUUAACAGAAAGAGCUUGCCAGGACCGUAAGGCAGACAUAAUGGGGCAUGAUGGUACAUAUAAUUAUAAUCCCAGCACUCAGGAGACGGAGGCAGACAGAUCUCUAUGAAUUCAAGGCCAGCCUGGACUACACAGUGAGCUCUGAGCCAGCCAGGGCUACAUGGUGAGACCCCACCUCAGAAACAAUAAAAGACCUCGACUUGGCGUCCCAUGGGUCAGGGGACAAGUCCUUGUCCUCCACUCAGUUUCCUCUCUAAAAUGGCAUAAUUAUAGUCCAGUCUCCUGGGCGGCUCAGUAGUUAUCUAAGGCCACGGAGCAGAGUUAACUGUUAACUGAGCAGUUUUCUUUAUUUUGGCAGUGACAUGGAUCAAACCUUACAUAAGCUAGGCAAGUGUUCUAUCAAUGAGCCGCAUCCCAGUCCUGGCUCCGUGUACUUUUUAUUUAUUUUAUUAUUAGCAUUUUCCCCCCCGUACCACAGGCUGGCUUCAAACUGCAAUCCCUGUGCAGCCAAGGAUAACUUUGUACCACGUCCUCCUGCCUCCACCUCCAAGCACUGGGCCUGAAGGCAUGUGCCUGCCACCCACCCCGCUUCUAUAGCAACUUGGUCGUUUAGUUUGAUUUUUGUUUUUUGAGACAGAAUUUCUCUGGCUGUCCUGGAAUUUGCUUUGUGGACCAGGCUGGCCUCGAACUCACAGAGAUCCACCUGCCUCUCUCUCCCGAGUGCUGGGAUUAAAGGUUUGCACCAUCAUCACCCAUCUGCAACUUGUUAAAUAAAUUAAUCUCAUAUAUUCCCUAUUAUACCAUAUUGUCUCUCUGUCUCUCUCCCUCUCUUCCUCUCUGUCUCACUGUCUGUCUCUGUCUCAUUUAUCUCUGUCUCUCUGUCUCUC